rnacentral:lncRNA from 1 species
AUGCCACCAUUCAGGCAUCACAGCAGAAGCAUUAUGUCCAAAGAAGAGGAGAGGCCUUCCUCUUGUUUAUUAGUGAGAAACCUUUCUCAGGAGGCCCCAGCAGACUUCACCUCUCAGCUCCCAUUUGCCAGAUUGGAUCUCAUGCUGCAAGGGAGCCUGGGAAAGCAACUUAAAAGCAGGAAGUACCAAUGGAGAAAGAAAAGGAACAAAAACAAUCAGGGAACUCUGGAAAGCUUACGCACCGUCAAGGCAAAUGGACUCUGCUCACAAUGGACUCUCAAUGCUUGGUGAAAUAGGCAGACAAACACUUAAGAGAAACUCAGAAUCACUUGCAAGGUAAGUGGUGGAGGAGGCCUUUUGCCCACUCAGUUGGGCUAAAAGCUUUAGACAAGUGCUCAGGGUUUACAGAUGAGAGAAGGGCAACAGAGGGAGCUGUGUUGGGGAGUACUUAAAAGCAAGGGCGUGGAGUAAACAGCUUUUCAGCAAGACACUCCUUAUUGUUGAAAAGCCACUCUCAGCAAGGUCUGCUUUUCACUUCCAGUCACUGCAGCAGGAAGCUUUAGGAAUCAAACAGGACCAGCUAAUGUAAACAUUGAACCACAGCAUCCUUCCCACACAGUCCCCUCCCAUUCCCUCCUUCUUCACAGGAUUUCUUUUUGUGAGGAAGAUUGGCCCUGAGCUAACCUCUGAGCCAAUCUUCCCCUAUUUUAUGUAGGAUGCCACUACAGCGUGGCUUGAUGAGCGCUGUGGAGGUCCAUGCCUGGGAUCCAAACCUGUGAACCCUGGGCCCCCAAAGCAGAGCAUGUGAAUCUAACCACUACUGCCACCGGGCUGGGCCCUUGAUGUGAUGUUUUAAUCUACGAGGGAUAUGUUCAAAAAUGAAAAUAAUGUAUCCCUUCCCCAUUAUAAAGUAGCACAAACUUGAAGAAAUAUCUUUGGAAGAGGCAGGACAGCAAAGGCAUUAAGGACUGAGAUCAGGCAGGCCUAGUGGGUACCGUUGGGCAUAUAACUUAACCUCUCUGAGCCUCAAUUUUCUCAUCUGUAAAAUAGGGAGAACAACGGUACUUGCCUUGUAGGGUUGUCAUGAGGACUGAAGAUAAUUCCCUUCAAGUGUUUAGUACCAGACCUGGAAGAUUGUAAAUAAACUCUGAGUCAACAGUAGAUAUUAUUAUCA